CCUGGCGGCAUGAUGAUAUGGGCGGAUAAGAAUUUGACGUGACGAGAAAAGACAGCUAGCCAGAGAGAGAAAAAGACCUGGUCAUUCUAUGUAAUGUUAAGAUCUUGGCAUUUUUAAAUAUAUAUAUUUGUUUUACAAUAUUAGCCUAACUUGUAGCUACUUUUACAUUUUCACUGAUUUCAUCCAUAGAGAUCUGCACACUGCUUCCAACAUAACAGGCACGCGGAUCCUGCUGAUACUGGCUCUGUCUUUCUUCCUCGUCAUGGUGCUGUUGGUAUCCGCAGGCUGCAAUCCAGGAUUCAGCAUGAAGAAAAAACAAUGCAUGGCUCUGUCUUUCUUCCUCAUCAUGGUGCUGUCAGUAUCAGCAGGCUGCCCUAAAGGAUUUUCAGCAAAGAAAAAGGAGUGCAUUGGUA